GGCUACUGCCAUAUCACGAUUCAUGCACCUCAUCCCGUCCGAUUUGAGAAGUUAAGCAUCGUCGAGCCACAUCAGUACUGAGGUUGGAG
rnacentral:rRNA from 1 species